UUUGUCAGAUGUCUCAAAUAAUUAUCGUUACUGUAUUUUUGGAUUAGGAUUAAAUUUGAAGAAAAAAAAGCAGGACAGGAGCUUUGAGUAAAAAAAGGCAGGAUGAGCAACUUGGCCAAAAAAAAAAAGGCAGGAUGACAAUUUAUGUAAAUAAAAGUCAGGAUAAACUAAGAAAAAAAACCGGCAGGACAGAGAUUACAACUAAAAAAAAAUGCAGGACAAAAUUUUUCAUCCUAGCCCCCCCC
rnacentral:lncRNA from 1 species